AACGAACGCUGGCGGCAGGCCUAACACAUGCAAGUCGAACGCUGUAGCAAUACAGAGUGGCAGACGGGUGAGUAACGCGUGGGAACAUUCCUAGAGGUACGGAAUAGCUCAGGGAAACUUGGGGUAAUACCGUAUAAGCCCUUACGGGGAAGAUUUAUCGCCUUUAGAUUGGCCCGCGUUGGAUUAGCUAGUUGGUGGGGUAACGGCCCACCAAGGCGACGAUCCAUAGCUGGUUUGAGAGAAUGACCAGCCACACUGGGACUGAGACACGGCCCAGACUCCUACGGGAGGCAGCAGUGGGGAAUCUUGGACAAUGGGCGCAAGCCUGAUCCAGCCAUGCCGCGUGAGUGACGAAGGCCUUCGGGUGUAAAGCUCUUUUGACGGGGACGAUAAUGACGGUACCCGUAGAAUAAGUCCGGCUAACUUCGUGCCAGCAGCCGC
rnacentral:rRNA from 1 species